AGCACGUAGGUGGGUUUGUAAGUCAGAUGUGGAAGCCUCCUGUUCAACGGGAGAAUUGCAUCUGAAACUACUGAUCUUGAGUGUAGGAGGGGAGAAUGGAACUUCUGGUGGAGCGGUGAAAUGCGUAGAUAUCAGAAGGAACGCCGGCGGCGAAAGCGACCCUCUGGCCUAUUACUGACACUCAGUGUGCGAAAGCUAGGGGAGCAAACGGGAUUAGAUACCCCGGUAGUCCUAGCUGUAAACGAUGGGCACUAAGUAGAGGGG
rnacentral:rRNA from 1 species